CCUACGGGUGGCAGCAGUGGGGAAUAUUGCACAAUGGGGGAAACCCUGAUGCAGCGACGCCGCGUGAGUGAAGAAGUAUUUCGGUAUGUAAAGCUCUAUCAGCAGGGAAGAAAAUGACGGUACCUGAUUAAGAAGCCCCGGCUAACUACGUGCCAGCAGCCGCGGUAAUACGGAGGGGGCAAGCGUUAUCCGGAUUUACUGGGUGUAAAGGGAGCGUAGACGGCAGCACAAGUCUGGAGUGAAAGGCGGGGGCUUAACCCCCGAACUGCUUUGGAAACUGUGCGGCUGGAGUGCAGGAGAGGUAAGUGGAAUUCGUAGUGUAGCGGUGAAAUGCGUAGAUAUUAGGAGGAACACCAGUGGCGAAGGCGGCUUACUGGACUGUAACUGACGUUGAGGCUCGAAAGCGUGGGGAGCAAACAGGAUUAGAUACCCCAGUAGUC
rnacentral:rRNA from 1 species